rnacentral:sRNA from 1 species
ACUUUGUACAGACAGAAUGACCUUGUGAAUUUAAAUAGAAAUAUGUGACAGUUGGUGUCUCAUCAUCGCUGACUGGUCGGUGGUGGAGCGGGUUUUGUCUCUUAGUUACAGGGAGCUAACACAUUUCAAGCAAAUCUUUAGGGAAGGGUCGGAACCAAGUGUAACCAUGGACUUAAAAACUGUCGCCUUUCUGCUUUUAGCUCUGAGUUACUCCGUCAACUCAAGUAAGUAGAGUUUCCUCUCUUUUAAUGUUUUAGUGUACAGUCUUAGCACCCACUCUAUUUAAUCCAAACAUAUUCAACAUUCUUAAGACCACAUUUAAACGC